GCCUGGGUGGCUCAGUCGGUUGAGCGUCUGACUUUGGCUCAGGUCAUGAUCUCGCGGUCUGUGAGUCUGAGCCUCGCAUUGGGCU
rnacentral:tRNA from 1 species